UGCGUAGGCGGAAUGAUAAGUUAGUGGUGAAAGCCUCCGGCUCAACCGGAGAACUGCCAUUAAUACUGCCAUUCUUGAGUAUAGUUGAAGUGGGCGGAAUGUAUCAUGUAGCGGUGAAAUGCUUAGAUAUGAUACAGAACACCAAUAGCGUAGGCAGCUUGCUAAACUAUAACUGACGCUCAGGCACGAAAGCGUGGGGAGCAAACAGGAUUAGAUACCCUGGUAGUCC
rnacentral:rRNA from 1 species